GCCGGGUGUGGUGGUGCACACCUGUCAUCCCAGUGUCUCAGGAGGCUGAGGCAGGAGGAUGGCGGGUUCAAAGCCAACCUCAGCAAUAGUGAGGCGCUCAGCAUCUCAUUGAGACCCUGUCUCUA
rnacentral:sRNA from 1 species